ACGGAGGGGGCUAGCGUUGUUCGGAAUUACUGGGCGUAAAGCGCUCGUAGGCGGAUUGGUCAGUCAGAGGUGAAAGCCCAGGGCUCAACCUUGGAAUUGCCUUUGAUACUGCCAGUCUUGAGUUCGGGAGAGGUGAGCGGAAUUCCGAGUGUAGAGGUGAAAUUCGUAGAUAUUCGGAGGAACACCAGAGGCGAAGGCGGCUCACUGGACCGAUACUGACGCUGAGGAGCGAAAGCGUGGGGAGCAAACAGG
rnacentral:rRNA from 1 species